rnacentral:tRNA from 1 species
GGUGAGGUGGCCGAGAGGCUGAAGUCGCUCCCCUGCUAAGGGAGUAUGCGGUCAAAAGCUGCAUCCGGGGUUCGAAUCCCCGCCUCACCGCCA